UUUUAUGCUAUUUAGUUCUCAAGGAGACACAAGCAGCCUCCAGAAAACAGUAUCUGAUUAAUGUUUAUUGAAGAACUCCUGUGUGUCCGAGACACUUAUCCCUGGAGAUACAGUAAAAUCCAGGCUGAGUCCCUGCCGUGGAGAAGCUUUUAUUCUGACAGAACCCGGUUUUACAUGCAGGAGCAAAGAAGGCGAUGAAAGUGAGGUCAACAUCAGGACCUCCUGCUACCAUCACCACCACCACUGACCCAUUUGCUUCACUCAGCCGAGUAGUGGAUCCAGGGCACAGCAAGAGGACAAAGGGGCUGUGAGGAGCACAGUGGUGGGGAGGAGGAGGAAGAGGAUUUUCUGAGUAAGGUGGGUGAUUCACACAGGUACUUGUUUCCCCUUCCAUAGCUACCCUCCAUCUCAGUCAUAGGGACCUUCCUAGUCCUUUGGAGCAUAUCCUUCUUCUUUCCCAACCAUCUGUCUUCUUGGCUUCCUCCUUCAGAAACCACCAUGAUAGCAUAUGAGCAAGGAGAAAACAUCAUGGCUUGAGGAAGCCUAUUCACUUUCAUGUGUCUCAUGGGCGAUCCCCUCCCCCGAGGCAUGGCCUGGGGGAACCUUUAAGAAGUCAGUUCAGGGGAGACAAGAUAGAUGAUAAAAUAAGUAGAUUAUGUUACAUAUUCACUCUCUCUCUCUCCAUAUAUAUAUAUAUAUAAUACAUAUUUUAUAUAUGUAAUGAUUUUACGCACUCAUUAUAUUUUUCUAGAGGAAACAGAAGCCCCAGUGGGUUGAGUAUCUAUUGCUUCACCUCCAAAAAAUGGCAUAAAUCUUUGGUAAAAUGUUACUAAAUGUGUCACACACUUAUUGAGAGAAAGGGAAUGUGAGAACCUUGCUCAAACAACAAAAAACAAACAUCGGAUGCAUAAGAGAAUGUUGGUUCUUAUGCCCAGCCCUGUGAAUUAUAAGGAUAAGAAACAAUCUAGUAGGUUUGAGAGAUGAAAAAAUAACCUGGUCAAGUCAGCCAUCCGCCCUUGUGGUUAUAAAGCAGAGUUUUUCAAGCUCUGCCUAUGGUUUGCGAAAGGAACUAGGUGGUGUGGCACAGGGGAAGGGAAGAAGAUCAGGAAAGGACAGCUGAACUGUGCUGGUGACUUCCCUGCUGCUCGUCCUCACUGUGUGGCUGUAGACCAAGCCGGUGCUCUAAAGAUGAAAUUUUCGUUAUUCACAGAACAGAUUCUUUGCAAUAUUUGGAUGUCUGGAAGGAGCACAUUGUCAAUGAUCAGGUUUUUCUGGAUGGAACGUAGAUUCUGAACAGAUUUUUAAUUUAAUUUUUAUUUCUAAAUUUAAUUUAGUACUGCGAUGUCUACCCCUAAUAUCCUUGUCCCAGCUCUCCUGUGACCAGGGCUGCCUGUGCACCACAGACCCCUUGGGCAACGUGCCGCUAAGCUAAUCACUGGGUGGCACCCAAGAGCCAGAAAAAAGAUGGAUUGAAUUGCAGACACUCUCUAAUACACAUAUUUUAACAAUUUCCUCUGUCCUCAGUGAAAUUAUGCUAAUAUUUUAGUUGAGUUUCCUCAAGUCUGGAACUCAAAUUAAGUCUGUCUGUUUCAUUUUUAUGAUAGUGCUUGAAAUCACUUGCAGACAAGGGGUUGUUGGGCCAUGAGAUUUAUAGUGGCAGUGCCACAAAGGUCAAACACAUCCUGAGGAAGAGGAAAGCAAUCUGUAGAACCAGUGUUUUCACUGCAAUAAAGUUUAUGGCAGCAUUAAGGGAGUAGUUACAAAUCAGUCAGGUGGUGUUGAUUUCAUUGAGAAUAAGUAUAUUUACACUUGUAAGCUUUCUCUUAAUAAUAUUCUGAAUGUUUUACACAAUGGGGUUAGUGAAGGUUGUAUCUGGGCAUAUUUCACGAGUGACAAAAUUUGUUUUUCUUUUUUCCACCCAUCCUUCUACUGGUUACUUUCACAAAAUAGGUUUAUAAUGGCUCUGUAGGGGCUGAGUAAAGGUUCAGCAAUUUUCUGACAUUUCCAACAAGGUCAAAGAUGCUGCAGAAACUAAAACUAAAAUGAUCGUGUAUACGUAUGUGAUUAAAGAUGAGAGGAGUCUAAAGAAAAAAAUGAUGUCACUAAUACUAAAAAGUGCUUCUUUCUAGGUAAUUAGUUAUUCAUAUUGCAGCUAAUUUUGUAUUAUUAGAAUUUCUGAUUGAAUGUUCAAUUCCUAUAUUAAAGGAGUAAGACAUAAACACCCCAACCUAUGUAAGACCUACAAUAAAUAAUGUUUACGCUUAACCCAAUCUACUUCAUAGCACUAAACACUAUUACUUUUUGCAAAACUAAUUGUAAAAUAGUUUUGUGAUUAUGCUGUUGUUUGAAUUAAUUGGGUAAUUAUUUUACCUAUUGCUUCGUUAUUUAUUGUCUGUCUUGUCCACUGGACUGUAGGCUCCACAAGGACAGAGACCUUGUCUUAUUCCUGAUCCUUUUCCAAGGUCCUACUAUAUAAUUACACAAUGGAGUUAGUGAAGGUUGGAUCUGAACAUAUUUUACAAGUGACAAAAUUUGUUUUUCCUUUUUUCCACCUUAAAAAUGUUUAUUGAAUGAACGAAUGAAUGUUUCUACCAUUCUCAGGAUUCUUCUACAUAGUGAAAACACUUUCUCACUAAGUCAGGUCUACACAAAGUUAAUGUUUCCUAACACUAUUAGAUAGUUUCUAGAACCUUCUAUUUCUGUCUCAUGUUUUUGUCCCUGAGGAACUGGUGUGGCUCUAUCUAACAAAUAUGGAGGGAAAGGAAGAGUCAGAACUUAUCCACGUCCUAUAAAUGAGAAAACUGGGACUUUGGCCUAUAAAUCUGCCAGGUAACUGUAUCUAUUUCACCUGGAGGAGAUCGUGCUACCUAUUUACCUGGAUGAGAUUUGCAUAUAUGUUAAUGAAGAGACUAUAUUGGUUGUUCAUCAGUGUAACAUCUCAUUGGAUAUUCAACAGCUGACAACCAUGAUGACUUAGAAACCCAUGGGAAUGAACUGUAUCGUAUGUUACCAAACCAUUGCAGAAACAGUAAAUAAUCAUACAUAUCAAUUUUUUUCUUUAAUUGUAAAGAUGGUUGAAUAUAGAUAUUAACCUGUUCAUAUUUAGUUAUGGGUGUACUUGAGGGGGGAAAUCCAAAUGGGUUAAACAAGGUUAUACUAUUAAUAUUACAAAUACAAUUAAACAUUUAAAGCUUUUAAAGACAUAAAGGAAAAUAGUUCUGGAUAAUAGCAAUAUAACUUUUAUUGUUGGUAAAGAGGAUAUUAAUUAUAUUUUUAAGGGAAGGUGCAUGAACAUUUAUUGCAGAUAACUUACUUUAGAAGAAAAUUUUUACAACAGAUCCCAAUAGGAGGAUUAUUCAAUAGAACUAACACUAAUGCAGAUUCUAGAACACAGAUGCCCAUAGAAUUAUUUCAAAAAGAAUUGUGUUAACACAAACUUCAAUUAACUGAUUUGUAUCACUUUUUAUUCUAGAAAAAAAAUUUCUUAGAGAGGUGCCAUGAUGUAAAACAAGUGUAAGUCAAGUUUCAUCGCCACUUGCUGUGUAGGCCAGCCCUGUGGUUUUAGUCCCAUAGAACAUGGUGUGGAAGGAGCAGGGUGGUUUCUGAGGCAUACGUGUGCAUAUGUCUGGGACUGCAAAGGCGCAUGAAACCCAUCUUGUCACCUAGUGACCCAACGUCCUUCUUGGUCAACCCUAUGUUACCAUAAUAUGAAGUGGAAUAGAAGGGGUAGGUGAAUUUCGGAGUUGGGGCUUCCCAUCUGCUAUCAGCUAAAUUACAACAUCCCUGCCAUCCCUGCCUGCUGCCACAUAUUUAUCUGUUGAAGCCCUAACUCCCAGUACCACAGAAUACGAUUAUAUUUGGAGAUAGGGUUUUAAAGGAGAUAAUUAAGUUAAAAUGAGGUCAUUAGGGUGGGCUCUAACCCAAGAAGACUGGUGUUCUUAUAAUAAGACAGGAUUAGGACACUGGCAGGUACAAAAUGAAGACACAGAGAGAAGACAGUCAUCUGCAAGCCAAGGAGAGAUGCCUCAGAAGAAAGCAACCCUGCCAACACCUCAGUCUUUCACUUCUAGCCUCCAGAACUGUGAGAAGUUGAUUUCUGGUUAAGGCACCCAGUCUGUGGUACUUUGUUAUGACAGUCCUGGCUGCCUGAUAUACCGUCUAAUUUAUUUCAAAGGAUGGCAUGGCAUGGGAGUGGCUGGAUACAGAAUGUGCAUCAGAGGCCUCAAAUGCCCCUUUGCCUGUGUGAUGAAAAUCCCCCAAUAGGUGUGCAUUACUCACUACUUUACCCUUAGACAUAGCCAGCAGGAGGCCCUGGUAAGUACAAAAACUUGUGGGGAGGAGCCACGCCCUCCCAUUUUCACCUGCAACCCUGUGGUCUGCUGAAGGAAACUAAAGGCCUGGGACAUGAGAUUAAGGGUAUGGUGAUGUGGACAGGAAGCAGUGUAUGGGGUUUGUCCAGGUUAGGAAAGUGCUAGAAUGUGGAAACUCCAGAAGGAAAGCAGAUCCGUGGAGGGUUGUCAGGAAGGAGUUGAGAGCCGGAAGGAAGAGCGGCCAGGAAGGACACACUGCAGGGCUCCAGGCAGGGGCUUUCUGGCUCCACACCUUCUGCUGUAGCUUGAAAGCCAAGCUCACCUUGAAACCUUAAGGCACCAAGCCAAAUGAUUAAAAGAUACAACAAAUUUGAAUCUGGUAAGAGUGGCUGACCCCUAAUUCUUAAAAACACUCAUGCAUGUGGCGUGUUUUGUGUGUGCCAGUUUUGUGUAAAGGGUGUGUACUAAUAGGAAGUCAUCAACCAAGUUCAAGAGAAAGGAAACCAAGAUGUUUGGAGUAACUUUUACUGCAUUCAGUGCUAAGAAAUGAUCUCUACAGGCACGUCUGACACUACCUUGCUGUGUGUCUUUGGAUAAACUGCUUAACAUCUCACCACCUUCUGUUUCUAAGGUUCUGCAUCUAAAAGCUAGAAUGAUGGAAAAGGAGAAUGUUGGCUGAUCUACUUUCAGAACUAGCUGAGCAGGCACUUGAGUGAUAGUCAGUAUUGAAAUGAACUGCUCCAGCUUGCCUCUAGAAUGUGAGGCCCCUGAGAGCAAGACCACUUGUGCCUUCACUUCUGCAGGAGACAGCAGCAGGUGGCCACACUGGUUCCAAAGAUACAGUCUCUGAGCAUGCAUAAUUCUGAAAUCUGAACUUUGGGUUCUAUGUCAUCAUGAAACAUUUCUGGGUUUUCUUGUUCUGGUACAAGUUAAAAAUGAUUCUUGGUGAAGGUGCAGGUAAAAAAGUUUGCAAGAACUCUAUUCUAUGUGCCGUUUCAACAAGCACUGGCCAUUCUUGGUGCUGCUCCCUGUGUAGAACAUCAAGGAUAUGAAGAGGAAUAAGAAUGUGGCUUACAUGCUAGUGGGGGAAAUGGCUAUCAGUCACAGCUAAAUACAUUUCAAUAUUGUACCUCCUACACUGUAUGAGCAAUGUUAAGUGAAACGAGAAAAAGGAUAGCUUCGCUGGGCUGUUGGACAUCAGGUGGAAGGGAGGUUGAAAAAGGCCUUUUAGUGACUGUCUUUGGUCAGUGUUUAAAAAUGGGUGGAUAGAACUUUGCUAAGAGGAUGAGUGGAGAGGACAUUCAGACAGAGAGCAGCGUAAGCCAAAGUGGGGUAGAAAGCUGAGGGGGCUGAAAAUAUGCCAGAUUCUGAGAAAACUGCAAAUAUUCAGGGUUGCUUAGAGUACGGAUUUGGGGAGGACAACAGUUACGAGCCAAUGGACGGGAAAAGGCUCAUCAAUAUGACCAGUGGAGUGAAUAAAAGUAUACCCUACAAAAUAUUAGAAAAUCAGGACAUUUCAAGAUUCAGUAGCCAUCUUUCUGCCUUUUUUUCUUUUUUUAUUUUUUUGAGAGUCUCGUUCUGUUGCCCAGGCUGGAGUGCAGUGGCAUGAUCUCGGCUCACUGCAACCUCCACCUCCCGGGUUCAAGCUAUUCUCCUGCCUUAGCCUCCCAAGUAGCUGGGACUACAGGCACACACCACCAUGCCCAGCUAAUUUUUGUAUUUUUAGUAGAGAUGAGGUUUUGUCAUGUUGGCCAGGAUGGUCUUGAACUCCUGACGUCGUGAUCUGCCCUCCUCGGCCUCCCAAAGUGCUGAGAUUACAGGCCUGAGCCACUGCGCCCAGCCUCUUUCUGCCUUUUCUUAAUGUAAAGCAGGGGAGUUGGCAACAUCAGACCCCCUCCUUCCAGCAGAGCAACGCUAGGUGGAGCUGAGUAGCAGCACCCCUUAGACAGUGUGGACCUUCCCAGUUCUCCACAGCCAUCACCCAAACAACAAGCAUAUGUUCAUUUCCCUGGACCAGUUCACCCAUGGGUGUUACCUGGCAAGCCCACCAGCCUGCAAAUUUGCCACUUGUGGUGCAGAGUGGGGAUAGAUGGAGGCAGAUGGGGCAAAGAGUUACAUUGGAGAGCUAAGUAAGAGUCAGAUUUGAACUUUAUUCUGUGAUCUGUAUAGCCCCAUCAAAGGUCUGUUCAAGUGUGAUAGUGACAUGAACAAAAAUCAUUCCCAACCAUUGAAAGGCAACCUCUCUCUUUAAGCUGGCCAAUAGGGUAUUUCCUUUACCUCUUCAAGACUAAGCAAGCACUUGUGGAACAUACACUGUGUCAAUAAUAUACUGGAUGAUGUGCAUGCUUUGGGGUUGUUUUGGAGUAUUUGCACGAGUAACAGGCUGGAAGGUACCAUACAUUCAAAAAAAAAAGAAAACAAUAAUUUUCCACAUAAUGCAAUCCUUUUUGUAAUUUAAUUAUCAUAAGAAAAGUUUUAUCUUGACAAAUAUCUUUGAACAAAUAUUCUAUUUUCAAAAAUGAAAUAAAAUAUAAAAACAUGUACUAAAAUAAUUUAAAAUUUAAUAGUGUGUCAAGGUCCUUUUUUAUGCUACAAAGAACACUAUUUUGUGCUCAGAACAUUAGGAUUACUUUCUCAACUUAUAGGGUACUCUUGGCCAGAUUUGACCUCAAAUACACAUGGGUUACAAUGGUGAUGUGUAGAGGGAAGUAGAGGUAAAGGCCAUAGUUGGAAAACUUGCAGAAGUCAGAAUAGGAAUCAAGAGGACAGGAUUCACUGUUGAUGGCUAUUUGUGUAUGAUUUCUGAACUCUAAACUCUGCUCAGUCCUGGAAAAUUCACCUACAGUUGGCUUCUUCACCUUCAAAAUGAAGAUAAUGUACGUAAAAAUAGAUCCCCCAAAUCUCUGCCUCAAGUUGCAGUUCGGAUCCAGGACUCUCAGGAUUAUCAAGUGAAAGAACUCAUUGAUACGUAUGUUUCAGAGAAAAAAAAAAAAUCAAAGGAAGAAAAAACAGUAACAGGAAAGGAAAAGCUUGUUGGGGGUGAGCAGACACUAAAGGCAGUAACCCCAGUUUUUCCUCAGGAAAUUGCCUCACAAAGGAAAAACUAAGAUGAUGAAAAAAUCAAAUGAAAGGUGGGAAAGCUGAAAACCAGAGUAUACCCAAGCUUCCCUAAUUAAGGUCUCCCUAUCUGCCCAGCAAAUCUGCAGUUCCCAAAUAGUGUGUAGCUACCAGGCACCCCAACAAGGAGUUUGAAUGAUAAGACAUUUUAGCAACUAUGGAAUGUUAUUGUCAGGCACAUAUCCA
rnacentral:lncRNA from 1 species